GCGGGCGUAAUUCAGGGGUAGAAUGUCGGCUUCCCAAGCCGAAUGUCGUGGGUUCGAAUCCCAUCGCCCGCU
rnacentral:tRNA from 1 species